rnacentral:rRNA from 1 species
CGCAGUUGUUAGCAAUUAUACAGCGAAACUGCGAAUGGCUCAUUAUAUAAGUUAUCGUUUAUUUGAUAGUACCUUACUACUUGGAUAACCGUGGUAAUUCUAGAGCUAAUACAUGCUAAAAAUCCCGACUUCGGAAGGGAUGUAUUUAUUAGAUUAAAAACCAAUGCCCUUCGGGGCUCACUGGUGAUUCAUAAUAACUUCUCGAAUCGCAUGGCCUUGCGCCGGCGAUGGUUCAUUCAAAUUUCUUCCCUAUCAACUUUCGAUGCUAGAGUAGUGUUCUAGCAUGGUUACAACGGGUAACGGAGGGUUAGGGCUCGACCCCGGAGAAGGAGCCUGAGAAACGGCUACUACAUCCAAGGAAGGCAGCAGGCGCGCAAAUUACCCAAUCCCGACACGGGGAGGUAGUGACGAUAAAUACUGAUACAGGGCUCUUUUGGGUCUUGUAAUUGGAAUGAGUACAAUUUAAAUCCCUUAACGAGGAACAAUUGGAGGGCAAGUCUGGUGCCAGCAGCCGCGGUAAUUCCAGCUCCAAUAGCGUAUAUUAAAGUUGUUGUGGUUAAAAAGCUCGUAGUAGAACCUUGGGCCUGGCUGACCGGUCCGCCUCACCGCGUGUACUGGUCCGGCCGGGCUCCCACCAUAGUCUAACCGCAUGCCCUUCACUGGGUGUGUUGGCGAAACUAUAUUUUUACUUUGAAAAAAUUAGAGUGCUCCAGGCAGGCCUAUGCUCGAAUACAUUAGCAUGGAAUAAUAGAAUAGGACGUGUGGUUCUAUUUUGUUGGUUUCUAGGACCGCCGUAAUGAUUAAUAGGGACAGUCGGGGGCAUCAGUAUUCAAUUGUCAGAGGUGAAAUUCUUGGAUUUAUUGAAGACUAACUACUGCGAAAGCAUUUGCCAAGGAUGUUUUCUUUAUCAGGAACGAAAGUAAGGGGAUCGAAGACGAUCAGAUACCGUCGUAGUCUUACCCAUAACUAUGCCGACAAGGGAUCGGACGAUGUAAUUUUUGACCCUUCGGACCUUAC